rnacentral:lncRNA from 1 species
GUUUGGCUAAAAAGGUAGACUUAUGGUGCAGGAUUCUGCAAAAUAUUUAUUUGUUUUAUGCAAAAACUAUAAAGAUUUGAGCAUGCAAAAAAUACAGCAUAUUAAUGAGGCCAACACCUAUCAAUGUCAUUAAAGUAGUAUUGGUGCCCGGGGUAUCUCUUUAAGCACAAUUGCUUCCACCUUUUACAUUUUGUAGACAAGGACAUAAGAUCACAAUGGUGUCCCAACAUUCUAUGACCAUUCUUUAUUCUCCCUCAGGCUAAUGCCUACUACACGUGUGAAUAAAUGUGUUUCAGGUGGGUUGAACAAACAAAAUUCCUUUUACUCUAUGCCUGAACAAAUCGAUCCAUCUGGGAUUUAUCCUUGGAUGUCUGGAUUUUGCAAUAUACCCUCCAAAUUAGACUGAGUAAAGACCAGAUUUCAGCCUGUCCAGAUGUGACCAAACCUUUAAAAUCCAGAUUCAAAUAGUGGAAAUACCCAUUUAAACAGUGAUAACUAAAACAUAAUAUGCAGCUGUGUGCAUGUAAAUUUGGGUCAACAGAAUUUCAAAUGAUAUAGAGGCUAUUAUUACAAAAAGCUGUUAUUGGCACCGUAUUAGUACUGGGGAGAAUUGGUUUACUCCAAUAUAUCCCAAAAAUAUUAUAUAUUUUUUUUAAAUAGGGUAGUACUUAACCACCGAUCUGAUCUAUAUCAAGUAACUAAAGCUCUGCCUCCAUCAUAUAGUUGUUAUUUUAAGCUUAAACGCAACUUAUCCUUUGCUCUCCUAGGAUAUUAAACCACUAUCCUUAUAACUGCAAACCUAACUGGUCAUAUAUGGAGUGGCACACACAAUUACUUCUUCAAAUUAACUUUGUACAUGGCGGCCUAGGCCAUCAAAGCUUCACUUACAGAUUGUCGCGAUAUGUGAGGACCCUCCGCAAGAUAUAUGGAAAGAACUCCAUCAAAGGUGGAGUAGAGUGAUAGAAAGGCAAAUAUUACUGGAUCUCAGAGUGGUUGAGCUUAACGCUAAGAAUGAACUAAUAAGAAUAAGAAUGAUAUAUUCAGACAAGGAGAAGAAUCAAAAUAUUAGUAGAAACUAUAGCAGAAAGCUAACUGGGUUGUAUAGGGUUAUGGAUACUGGGAUAAUUUAAAGCCAGGAACAGGCCAGGUCUUCUUGUACACUAUUCAAUAACAAAAUAAUUUGUGGUCAAAUAGUUGCCAGGUCUAAUCACAUGAAUUACUUAAGUGCUCUGUAAACACAAAAGGGCACGGGGCAAUGCGAAACCAAGGCCAAGACACUUCAUCUAAUGUCAAUGAUGCAUCUGACAUGAUGCCAACCAAUAAGGUAAAAAAUGGACGCCAAGAUUGUGCCUUGCAGGAACUAUGCUGGUUACAUUGUAAUAUUCAUAACAACCCCACAUCCACUAUGACAUAGGAAGAUUAUUGCAUAGAGAGUCAAUAGAUUUACAACAGUUUCUACAAAAAUUCAGACAAAUCUCAAAAUGGCUGUUUAAGGGAAUAUCGAAUACCGGACUGGAUUAGUCACGAAUUGGAAUGAAAUAUUUACCUAAAGUCGAAUUCAAGCCAAUCUCUAUUUUUUUUUACUCUCAGGCAGGCACAUUUUGAUUCUUUGUACAAAUAAAUUCUGCAAUGUGGACCCAGGCAUAGGUGAAACUACAGCCUGAAAUAGAACAGGGCAAGGCUUUUCUAUUAGGUUUCCUUUAGCAAUGGCCGUAACUAAAUACACGAAGACUUGGCAAUCAACUGUCACACAAAAUCUUCAUUUGUCUUUUGUGGCUGGAGGAUCUGCUUGAGAAUGUCAGCCUUGAUUAGAAAAAGCUUAGAAUUAGAAUACCGUUCACAUUAUUUAGAUUUAUUUAGGAUUACGAGAGCUACACGUGAGAAUACCAGGGUAUGCCUUUUAGAUUGUUUGCUUGUGGAAACCAGACUGACAUAAUUAAGCACAUACAGUUUUCUCCAACACCAACGUGUAUUUAAGUAAGUGGUUUUGACUUUUAUGGGAGUAUGUGUGUUGUUGAUGACCAAUAUAUAAAUAUUCCCAGCGGACCUCAUUUUACUUCCAAUAGAAACAUUUUGAAUUCCAAAAUUCCUAAAGUACCUUCGUAAAGUAGAGACAUUCUUUCUUUAGCAUGUUCUGCUCAGAGAUACACACUAUAUAGUAUUACGCAGAGCAACCUGUUUAAAGCAAACUAACUCACUGUCAGGAUAUAAAGUUAUCGGUUAUGAGUCAGGGAUGAUUAUACAACGUAUAAGGUUAAUAGGAUUGUCUACCUCUACGGUCAACGUCUGUCAGACCUCAGUACUAGAACUGGAAAUUAUAAUUAACAUCUUAUUUGUGCUUUAAAUUACUUGUCUUUCUCAACCGACACAUUAUUCUAGAUACAUAACACAUGUGGGGCAUCUUCAUAGAUUAUUCGUGUUUAUAUCAUAAUUCAUGGUAUAUAGAAUGUAAUUAUAUGAGGCCAUUACACCAAAGACUGUUUCUACAGUGUACAUUAGUUCAGAUAUUAAAGGUACACUAUCUUUUUUUGUUUAGCAAAACCCAGAGGAUUCACUAAAACACACAUUUAGCCUGUCCUUAAAAUUAGUCUUUUACUCCAGUGACUACAGUCCCUCAUUGUAAUGCAUAUUCACACAGUACAAAUACUUGCUCAGAUAAUGAGUAAGUAAAACGUUCUUAUUAUGGCAUUGCAAUCUGGAGGUGUGGACUGUGCGUGCCUGGAAAUCCUCCAGUGUUGUCAAACUGCUUGGGAAACAAGUUUGGCAUAAGCCAGGCUAUCCUAGCGUCAUAACCACAAGAAUAAGUUAUCGUUUUUAAUGUCUACUAACUAGAGUAGUAUGGUCCUCAUGCUACACUUUAGAGGUGUUUAUGAAAGUACAGUAAUGGGUUUACUUACAUCUCCAAUAUAUUAUUCAUAAUUUCCCUAAAAUAAUGGCAAAUAUGUUCAUCCUACCUAGAGGACACCUGCAACUUUGUCUUUGUUGCAGUUCCUGUUGACAAUGCACACAUGCCCUGUGUACAACUUUAUGUAAAUGGUUUCCCACUGAUCAGUUCAGCCUGAAUUUAAUGUUUGGGGCACUACAAUAAUAGAACAUAAUAUUAUAUCUCUAUUGAGAGAUUGAGAAAAUACUGUAUUACAGAGAGUGCAAUGUGUACUAAGGAUAGCCUUGCAUGGAGAUUGUAAAAGCAAACACAAUUCACAAAUUCUAAAACACUUGUGAGUGCAUAAAAAUAAAUAAAAAUGGAAUGUGAUAGAAAAUAAAUUCGGUCAACUGCUCUGCCAAGAGUGAACGAUUUUAUCAGCCACCCAUUUGGGAAGGUUCACACAGGGAGUACUCACCAGUAAUUGCCAGUUGUUCAGAUGUGAUAAUCAUCUUCUAAUCUAUAAGAUCCAAGGGAUUUCCCCACUUCUUAUUCUUCGAGAGUCCAUCCACUGUAACGUCUACAGAGCAGAGGGAGAAAUAAAUAAACAUGCAGUAAAAGUAAUAUUUUCACAGUAUUUUUAUUGUCUGAGCAACUUUUUGAAUAUCCCAAACAUCAUUGUUUGCAAAAAAUAAGCUUAUCUUCAAUGUCAAUCUUUGGUCCAUCU